rnacentral:rRNA from 1 species
UGAAUACGAGAUGCUACGGCGUUGAAGCAGUGUAUGUCAGACUUCCAAGAAAAGCUCGCAAUGUCAUAAAUAAAGAAUGCCUGUACCAUAACCGACACAGGUGGGUAGGUAGAGUAUACUAAGGGGCGCGAGAUAACUCUCUCUAAGGAACUCGGCAAAAUAACUCCGUAACUUCGGGAGAAGGAGUGCCUUCUUUAAGAAGGUUGCAAUAACAAGAUCCAAGCAACUGUUUAUCAAAAACACAGGUCUCCGCUAAGUCGUAAGACGAUGUAUGGGGGCUGACGCCUGCCCAGUGCCAGAAGGUUAAAGAAAUUGGUUAGCACUUGCGAAGCUGAUGACUGAAGCCCUGGUGAACGGCGGCCGUAACGAUAACGGUCCUAAGGUAGCGAAAUUCCUUGUCGGGUAAGUUCCGACCCGCACGAAAGGCGUAAUGAUUUGGAUACUGUCUCGGAGAGGGACUCGGUGAAAUAGACUUGUCUGUGAAGAUGCGGACUACCUGCACCAGGACAGAAAGACCCUAUGAAGCUUUACUGUAACUUGAAAUUGAAAUUGGACUUUAUUUGCGCAGCAUAGGUGGAAGGCGUUGAGACUGAUCUUGCGGGAUUGGUGGAGCCAUCAGUGAGAUACCACUCCUAUAAUGUUAGAUUUCUAACUUUGAAUCAUGAUCUGGUCAAAGAACAGUUUCAGGCGGGCAGUUUGACUGGGGCGGUCGCCUCCCAAAUGGUAACGGAGGCGUACAAAGGUUUCCUCUGAACGGGUAGAAAUCGUAUCUAGAGUGUAAAGGCAUAAGGAAGCUUGACUGUGAGACCUACAAGUCGAGCAGGGACGAAAGUCGGUCUUAGUGAUCUGACGGUGCUGAGUGGAAAGGCCGUCACUCAACGGAUAAAAGUUACUCUAGGAUAACAGGCUGAUCUCCCCCAAGAGUUCACAUCGACGGGGAGGUUUGGCACCUCGAUGUCGGCUCAUCGCAUCCUGGGGCGGUAGUACGUCCCAAGGGUUGGGCUGUUCGCCCAUGAAAGCGGUACGCGAGCUGGGUUCAGAACGUCGUGAGACAGUUCGGUCCAUAUCCGGUGUAGGCGUUAGAAUAUUGAGAGGAGCCUUCUUUAGUACGAGAGGACCGAGAAGGACAUACCUCUGGUGUACCAGUUAUCGUGCCAACGGUAAACGCUGGGUAGCUAUGUAUGGAGAGGAUAACCGCUGAAAGCAUCUAAGUGGGAAGCCCACCUCAAGAUGAGUAUUCUCAUC